rnacentral:lncRNA from 1 species
GACGCUCGUAACGCUGGUCCCGUUUUGAAGAGCGCUGCGUCCCUGUGGGAGCCUUCUUGCUUCUGAUAUAGUUUCAGGGCCACAUCUGAGCACUGCUGGUCAGCAGAAUCGAAGUGCAGUGUCGAUAACGAUGAGCGAAGGGAGGUCUGGUUGCACAGCUCGCAUGUCCGAGGCAUUGAAGGCUGUUCAGAAACCGGCGUUGCCGAUGACAACAAUUGCCUGCCUUAAAGAGUGAGAAGAAAUCACUCGUGUUUUGCUGCGCCUUUAGUGGCUUCUUCGCACUUUCGCGACAGCCUCCAUCUGCACGUCGCUGCACAGGUACCCAUGACCGCGCAUGUGAACGUUUUGAGUUCUGCAUCAGGCCAUCCAACUAUCGCAGCAAAACUCACGUUACGCAGCUUGUUCCCUGCUGGUGUAUUUUGUCUGAAUUUCUGAUGCGAAACAGUGCAAAGUGAACUUGUAACGUCCACUGUUGCUGCUUCCCGGAUUCUGUGCAGCGCAAUGGUGGCUUCUGCGAAGUCUUUUACGGCCACCCCAAAGAGAGGUAGCUCGGUCUCUCGUGGCCCCACGAAAACAAUGAGCAAAACCAAGAGCACGAACAGCACCACACGGAGCAAAAGCGCUCUGGCGUUGGAGCGUGAGAACACAGCCAAACCUCCCAGCUCCCCCUGCGACAUGUGUGGUGCCGCCGAAUGCUUGCGGCCCUGGUUAGAUGAUCAAUGUCACUGCGAUGCAUGCCUUUUCGGAAACGAAAAAAGCGGCCGCACCAUGUCCAGCAUGCGAAAUAGCGGUUCCCGCAGUGAGAUGAGCUUCACGCCCAAAUGCAUGAAAGAGAAAUUCCAGAAGUCGCGAACGUCAGAAACAUCAUGUGGAGGAUGCUCGAGCGCCACCCUUCCCAACGCAGGACUGGAAAUGCUUCCUCACGAAAAAGGGAAUCAAACAGGAGAAUCACCCAAGACUCCCAUCCAAGUUACACUCGUGGCUCCCUGGUAAUUAAAAGACUCUGUCCGAUGCAAAAUAUCAUUCGUGAUUCUCAACAGAGAGAACACUUCCCGGCCGUAUGAGAUGAAACACCAACUCCCAUGAACAUUGC